GGUUCUGUAGUGUAGUGGUUAGCACUCUGGACUUUGAAUCCAGCGACCUGGGUUCGACUCCCGGCAGGACCU
rnacentral:tRNA from 2 species